rnacentral:rRNA from 1 species
CGGAUGUGGAAGCCCAGUAAUGGGUGGAGCUGACCGGUACUAAUAGGCCGAGGGCUUGUCCUC